rnacentral:rRNA from 1 species
AUUGAACGCUGGCGGAAUGCUUUACACAUGCAAGUCGAGCGGCAGCACGGGGGCAACCCUGGUGGCGAGCGGCGAACGGGUGAGUAAUACAUCGGAACAUGCCCAGUCGUGGGGGAUAACACUUCGAAAGAAGUGCUAAUACCGCAUACGUCCUGAGGGAGAAAGCGGGGGAUCUUCGGACCUCGCGCGAUUGGAGUGGCCGAUGUCAGAUUAGCUAGUUGGUGGGGUAAAGGCCUACCAAGGCAACGAUCUGUAGCUGGUCUGAGAGGAUGAGCAGCCACACUGGGACUGGGACACGGCCCAGACUCCUCCGGGAGGGAGCGGUGGGGAAUUUUGGCCAAUGGGGGCAACGCUGAUCCAGCCAUUCCGCGGGAGUGAAGAAGGCCUUCGGGUUGUAAAGCUCUUUCGGCAGGAACGAAACGGCGAGCUCUAACAUAGCUUGCUAAUGACGGUACCUGAAGAAGAAGCACCGGCGAACUACGUGCCAGCAGCCGCCGUAAUAC